UACAGAGACCUCAAGCGUUAUCCGGAAUCAUUGGGCGUAAAGCGUACCGAUAGGUGGUUUUACAAGUCAGACGUGAAAUCUCUCAGCUUAACUGGGAGACUGUCUUUUGAAACUGUAAAACUAGAGGGGCAAAGAGGAAGCUGGAACAAGCGGUGUAGUAGUGAAAUGCGUUGAUAUCAGGAAGAACACCCGUGGCUAAGGCGGCUCUCUAGUACGGUACUGACGCUGAGACGCGAAAGCGUGGGGAGCGAACAGG
rnacentral:rRNA from 1 species